GGGGAGUAGCCAACCUGAGUCCGGCUCAGGGGUAAGCAUCAACACACUUGGCCACAUGCCAUGGUGCUUACAGCAAACAUGAGUUUGCC
rnacentral:sRNA from 2 species